AUACGAGCUUAUAAACAAACAGUUUCAGCACAACUGCGAUUUAUGUAACAACAGUAGCCUAAUAAUGUGAUGAAUAUAAACGUUUCAAAACGUCAACAUUUCGCAACACAGUGACGAGCAAGUGCAUGUAAUCACCAUGAAAAUUGCGCAACGGAAUCUGUGAUACACGUUAUGUUAUGGUCGCUUAUUCAACUCGGUUUGGUGUUUAUUGCUGCACGUUGAGGUGUAGACAGCGUGAGAUUUUUAGGCGCUGUUCAAUGCGCGUUUUCACACAAGUUAUUAAAUAUUUAUUGAUAAUGAUUUCGGGUUAUAUUGUGAACGAGUUCAUACUUGAUCUCGUUUCAUCCGCUGUAGCGGUUGUGGCGUUACUUUUCUCAGUAUCACAAUAUUGUUUAAGGUGAAAACAAUUUACAGCAGAUUAAGUUACGUAAAAUAACAUGGGUUAUGACGUAAUCAUUACGUCACUUUGACAUAUAGGUUAUUUACGCAGGAAACGAACGAAGUGUUCUAGAUAGUGCAGAGAAUUUGUUCUUGGAAAUGUUUUGAUAAUUAAGCUAUCACUAUAAUACAAGCAUUUACAAACAGCAUACGCGCUGUAACUAUAUGUUAUACAACGCUGGCGGAGCUUCAGAAUUAUAUGUAUUAAGAUAGUUUAGUGAGACAGGCAGUAAUAUCAGGAAUAAUAUGUUUACUAACGGUUUUAUAUCGAAAAAAAUAUGCCAAAAAAAAACGGAAAGUAACGAAUCAAACGGCAGUCGUGUUAUAGCAAAAUAUAGAAGUUUCAGAAUGUUUGUUUUGUUACAUGCAUUAAUUAUAUAAUCUGUGGCCUUUGUAAAACAGGCAACCAGCUGACGCGUUAUUUGAGUAACGUAAAUAAUAGAACACAUGUUAUAGAGUAGGGUGAGGAAGAUGGGACACAAUUUUAUUCCAUUUUCUUGUCCCAUUUUGAACAAUUAUUGACCGUCAAUAAUUGUUCAAGACACAAUCAGGAUAUUUGGAUAUUAUGUGCUAAAGGUGUCCUAUCUUACCCCACCCUAUAUACUAUAUAUUUGAAUAUCCACAUAAGAAUUCAGAGCUCACGCACAUGCGCGAAAUUAUAAUCUUACUUUCUCCAUAACAGACACCACUCUAUAGUUAAAUAUGGAGACCGAUGCGUUAGAUUUAACCAACAUAAGCGACUCAACUACGUUAAACCCCAACCCAUGGUCUACGAGACCCCUCGCACAACAGAUCGUUGAAAUGAUUUAUCUGGUGAUCGUCAUGACAGUUGGAUCGAUCGGGAACAUGUUAGUGGUCGCUGCUAUCGUAAUAAGGAAGAAAGUUCAUGUUUAUGGAAACAUUUUCAUCAUAAACCUCGCUGUGGCUGAUCUUAUGGUGGUCAUGGUACUGGUACCAAGCGUACUCUCCAACGUCAUAGCGAACGAGAACACCCUACCAGAUAUCCCGUGUCGUAUUAUCGGUUUUAUGAUGUCUGUGACGUGUUCAUGUUCAAUCCAUAACCUGACAGCAGUCUCAGUAAACAGAUACUGGGCUGUAGUUCGGUCAUCGUCGUAUUCCAGGGUAUUCUCAAAUAGGAACACGGUAAUAUUCGUUAUUGCUAUUUGGUUGUGGUCGAUCAUUCUAUUCGUACCUUCAAUACCUCUGACGGGGAAGCCAUACGAUCCAAAGAUCAUGGAAUGUUUGUGGGACGACCAGUUCUCACGCUUGUACACAGUUGUUCUGGUUGUUGUUGUGAUUAUGUUCCCGCUGAUAACUAUCUGUGUAUGCUACUGGAAACUGUACAAGAACGUUCGUAAAGGGGGAGUGUGGUUCAAAAAGCAACAAGAAUCCACUCGUGUGCGGCAACCGAUCAAGAAAAACGAUAACCAUGUUUAUAGAAGAGAAAUUCGUCUUUUGAAGACAUUGGCGGUUGCUAUCCUCGCUUAUGUUAUAUGUUGGCUGCCUUACGGGAUGUGUAUUAUAAUUGACCCAAUCAAUAUACCAGCGCUACCCAAGAAAAUCUUUGGGUGGAUGGCGUUCACAAACUCGUCUGUAAACUUCGUGAUAUACGGGGUCAUGAACCCUAGCUAUAGAAGGGGGUAUGUGGAAGUCAUACGGAAGAUAUGCAAUAAAGCAGAGAAAAGGAAUUUUUCCGAUGUUAUAUCGUCACAAGAAAGGCAGGAAUCGCAAAAGCCGCGUUGUGUUUCUAUUAUUCAUGUACCGCGACCCCGCAAGGAUUAACGCUGACCUGGGAUAAUCCUUUAAAAAAUACCCUGCAAGCAAGGGCAGCGACUUCUCCAACAAUUCUUUUCGAAACUCGACGUUAAUUACGAACUUUCAACGGACAACAUUAGAUAAAGCGGGGACGAAUAAACGAACACCGUUAGCCGUAAAAUGUCUUCGCCCAAGCCCAGCCAAGGUUGGGAUUGUUUCUUCUUGAAACAUUUUGAAAACAUUUGCUGACGUCACGAUUAUUGUGGACCAAGUUAAAACAUGUGCUGAUGACGUUUGGUUUUACCAUUGAGGUUGCAGGUUUUAUUACUUCACCUGGAGAACUUUAUUUAGAAAAUACAAUAACACCUUCUACGUCACGGAAUGUAACACGUUAUGGAUGUAUUGCGAAAACUAUAAAACACCUUCUAUAUAAAGUUAAAGACUUGGUGAAUUUUCGCAGUAAAAUAUUUUAAAAUGUGUUGAAUGAUUCACCUAAAAGC